AUUGCUUCUGUUUUGAAUAUCAUAUUCGUGCCUGCCGGUGGAAAAAUUAGAGCGACAUAUUAGUGCAUUGGUAAAGUGCUCUUAUCAUUCUGUUAUAGUCAACUGCAGCCAAUCUUCUUUGGACAAUAAGUUGUAUUGGUGGAGCAGUUUCCUGAGCUUUGGAAGUGUUUGGGCUUGUUCGAGUUGCAAUUACAACUGUAGUGUUGCGUGAAUAAAGCAUCACGUUCGCUGUGAAUUUGUAGCAACGUUUUACCAAUUAGGAUGUUGGAACCGUCUUGCAAAUUUUCAUCAGCGCUGCAGUUUUUGUGCUUUUAUUGCGUGCCUCGAGCAGGCCCUUUAUCAGUGAAUAGUUGUGGUUGUUGUAGUAGUAGCCGCAUUACGAAGCCCGGCCUCAGUCGGUUUUCCAUCAACAACAACGACAAUAAUAACCUGUUUAUGCAUUCCUGUUUUAUUGCAUUCCCCUUUCCAAAUUAAUAUUAUACUAUGUUUAAGGCUCGGUGAAAUAAAUGAAGCGCUACUGGAGGCAAAUUAAAAUAUCUCCCUCAGCAAAAAUGAGACGCUCGCUCAUGAUGAAAGCAUGUUAAUAGUUUAUUCUUUGAAACAUCACCGACAUAGUCAUAUUCUAAAGCAUCAUCAACGCCAUCACCAAAUUCAAUGCCAUCAACACCAUCAGCGGCUAGUAACAAUGUAUACCACAGAUUUAUGGCGAAUUACAACGAGGCAAAAAACAUAUACAUAUGUAGGAAUUGUAAAAUUCCUAAAAUUUUGCAAAGUUUUAAGAAAACUGCAUUUUCUUGCACCACUAUAACUGAUUUCCAAUUGUUAAUAUAUAUCAAAAGAAAGCUAAAAGGAUUACCUUUCCUUUGAUUAUAAAACCAUUUAAAUCGCUGGACAUUUUUAUGCAAAUUUCGCAACUUUUGAAAUCAUCUAUAUGUAAGCAGUGGAAAGGUUCUAAAAUUUAGCAAAGUUGUAAGAAAACUGCAUUUUCUUGAACCACUAUAAAUGAUUUCCAAUUGUUAAUAUAUAUCAAAAGAAAGAUAAAUCGAUUACCUUUCUUUUAAUUAAAAUACCAUUGAAUUCGUUUAACAUUUUUAUGCAAAUUUCGCAACUUUUGAAAUCAUCUAUAUGUAAGCAGUGGAAAAGUCCUCAAAUUUUGUAGUUGUAAGAAAACUGAAUUUUCGUAAACCACGAUAAAUGAUUUCCAACUGUUAAUAUAUAUCAAAAGAAUAGUAAAUUGAUUAAUAUAUUAUUAUUAUUAUUAUAGUUUAAUAUCUUUAUACAUAGAUUUAUUUAAUAUCCCGUUUUGUAGAAUGGUUAUGAUGAUGUCUUAGAAACGCUUGCCAUAAUUGAUUAUUAAUAAAAUAAAGGUUUAUACUUUAAAAGGAUUUUUUAUUUCAAAUGGAUAUUCUUUAUUUUUUUUUAACUUAUUGCUUUUCCACACCACCACUGAGGUUGCAAUAAAGGCGCGUUACCGAUUUUUUUUUUUGGGUGUUCGGUUCCCCAGGAGGCCUAUUUUCACCCAUAC